UACGAAGGGGGCUAGCGUUGCUCGGAAUCACUGGGCGUAAAGGGUGCGUAGGCGGGGCUUUAAGUCAGGGGUGAAAUCCUGGAGCUCAACUCCAGAACUGCCUUUGAUACUGAAGAUCUUGAGUUCGGGAGAGGUGAGUGGAACUGCGAGUGUAGAGGUGAAAUUCGUAGAUAUUCGCAAGGACACCAGUGGCGAAGGCGGCUCACUGGCCCGAUACUGACGCUGAGGCACGAAAGCGUGGGGAGCAAACAGG
rnacentral:rRNA from 1 species